AUUGAACGCUGGCGGCAGGCCUAACACAUGCAAGUCGAACGAGUGGCGGACGGGUGAGUAAUGUCUGGGAAACUGCCCGAUGGAGGGGGAUAACUACUGGAAACGGUAGCUAAUACCGCAUACCAUCAGAGGUGCCCAGAUGGUAUUAGCUAGUUCGGGGGGUAACGGCUCACCAAGUCGCCGAUCCCUAGGUGGUCUGAGAGGAUGACCAGCCACAGUGGAGCUGAGACGCGGUCCAGACUCCUAAGUGAGGCAGCAGUGGGGAAUAUAGCACAAUGAGCAGAAGCUUGAUGCAGCCAUGCGGCGUAUAUGAGGAAGGCCUUCGGGUUGUAAAGUACUUUAAGCGGGGAGGCGUUACCCGCCGAAGAAGCACCGGCUAACUCCGUGCCAGCCGCCGCGGUAAUAC
rnacentral:rRNA from 1 species